GAGGCCGCGAAAUGUAUUGAGAAGAUGCAGCAUCAAGUGCAAAAGCUUGAAAAGGAAAAUGCCGAGUUAAAAGAUACAAACAAAAUGCAAGCGGGCACAAUUGAAGAGCUUCAGAGAAACCCGCCGGGUCCAAGUUCGGCUUGAAAAGGAAAAUGCCGAGUUAAAAGAUACAAACAAAAUGCAAGCGGGCACAAUUGAAGAGCUUCAGAGAAACCCGCCGGGUCCAAGUUCGGUAAGUCGGGUUUUUUCUGUCAUAACCGAAAAGGAAUUUUAAUUGUGUUACCAAUAUUAUAUGAGACUAUUUUAGAAAAUAGGA
rnacentral:lncRNA from 1 species